GAUGAACGCUAGCGGGAGGCCUAACACAUGCAAGCCGAGCGGUAUUGUUUCUUCGGAAAUGAGAGAGCGGCGUACGGGUGCGGAACACGUGUGCAACCUGCCUUUAUCUGGGGGAUAGCCUUUCGAAAGGAAGAUUAAUACUCCAUAAUAUAUUGAACGGCAUCGUUUAAUAUUGAAAGCUCCGGCGGAUAGAGAUGGGCACGCGCAAGGUUAGCUAGUUGGUGAGGUAACGGCUCACCAAGGCGAUGAUCUUUAGGGGGCCUGAGAGGGUGAUCCCCCACACUGGUACUGAGACACGGACCAGACUCCUACGGGAGGCAGCAGUGAGGAAUAUUGGUCAAUGGGUGCAAGCCUGAACCAGCCAUCCCGCGUGAAGGACGACUGCCCUAUGGGUUGUAAACUUCUUUUGUAUAGGGAUAAACCUACCCUCGUGAGGGUAGCUGAAGGUACUAUACGAAUAAGCACCGGCUAACUCCGUGCCAGCAGCCGCGGUAAUACGGAGGGUGCAAGCGUUAUCCGGAUUUAUUGGGUUUAAAGGGUCCGUAGGCGGACUUAUAAGUCAGUGGUGAAAGCCUGUCGCUUAACGAUAGAACUGCCAUUGAUACUGUAAGUCUUGAGUAUAUUUGAGGUAGCUGGAAUAAGUAGUGUAGCGGUGAAAUGCAUAGAUAUUACUUAGAACACCAAUUGCGAAGGCAGGUUACCAAGAUAUAACUGACGCUGAGGGACGAAAGCGUGGGGAGCGAACAGGAUUAGAUACCCUGGUAGUCCACGCCGUAAACGAUGCUAACUCGUUUUUGGGCUUUAGGGUUCAGAGACCAAGCGAAAGUGAUAAGUUAGCCACCUGGGGAGUACGCUCGCAAGAGUGAAACUCAAAGGAAUUGGCGGGGGCCCGCACAAGCGGUGGAUUAUGUGGUUUAAUUCGAUGAUACGCGAGGAACCUUACCAAGACUUAAAUGGGAAUUGACAGCUUUAGAAAUAGAGCUUUCUUCGGACAAUUUUCAAGGUGCUGCAUGGUUGUCGUCAGCUCGUGCCGUGAGGUGUUAGGUUAAGUCCUGCAACGAGCGCAACCCCUGUCACUAGUUGCCAUCAUUCAGUUGGGGACUCUAGUGAGACUGCCUACGCAAGUAGAGAGGAAGGUGGGGAUGACGUCAAAUCAUCACGGCCCUUACGUCUUGGGCCACACACGUAAUACAAUGGCCGGUACAGAGGGCAGCUACACAGCGAUGUGAUGCAAAUCUCGAAAGCCGGUCUCAGUUCGGAUUGGAGUCUGCAACUCGACUCUAUGAAGCUGGAAUCGCUAGUAAUCGCGCAUCAGCCAUGGCGCGGUGAAUACGUUCCCGGGCCU
rnacentral:rRNA from 1 species